UGAGCAACCUGCCCUUGACUCUGGAAUAACAGUUGGAAACAGCUGCUAAUACCGGAUAUGACCUCUGACGACAUCGUCUGGAGGUGGAAAGCUCCGGCGGUCAAGGAUGGGCUCGCGGCCUAUCAGCUUGUUGGUGAGGUAACGGCUCACCAAGGCUUCGACGGGUAGCCGGCCUGAGAGGGCGACCGGCCACACUGGGACUGAGAUACGGCCCAAGACUCCGUAGGA
rnacentral:rRNA from 1 species